CCUACGGGAGGCUGCAGUAGGGAAUCUUUCACAAUGGGGGAAACCCUGAUGCAGCGACGCCGCGUGCGUGAUGAAGGCCUUCGUUAUGUAAAGCUCUAUCAGCAGGGAAGAAAAUGACGGUACCUGAGUAAGAAGCCUCGGCUAACUACGUGCCAGCAGCCGCGGUAAUACGUAGGAGGCAAGCUUUAUCCGGAUUUACUGGGUGUAAAGGGAGCUUAGACGGCAGUUCAAGUCUGGGGUGAAAGGCGGGGGCUCAACCCACGGACUACUCGGGAAACUGUACGGCGGGAGUGCAGGAGAGGUAAGUGGAAUUUCUAGUGUAGCGGUGAAAUGCGUAGAUAUUAGGAGGAACACCAGUGGCGAAGGCGGGUUACUGGACUGUAACUGACGUUGAGGCUCGAAAGCGUAGGGAGCAAACAGGAUUAGAUACCCUUGUAGUC
rnacentral:rRNA from 1 species